AAUCCAUAGGUUAAUGAGGCGAACCGGGGGAACUGAAACAUCUAAGUACCCCGAGGAAAAGAAAUCAACCGAGAUUCCCCCAGUAGCGGCGAGCGAACGGGGAGGAGCCCAGAGCCUGAAUCAGCAUGUGUGUUAGUGGAAGCGUCUGGAAAGGCGCGCGAUACAGGGUGACAGCCCCGUACACAAAAGCGCAUGUGCUGUGAGCUCGAUGAGUAGGGCGGGACACGUGGUAUCCUGUCUGAAUAUGGGGGGACCAUCCUCCAAGGCUAAAUACUCCUGACUGACCGAUAGUGAACCAGUACCGUGAGGGAAAGGCGAAAAGAACCCCGGCGAGGGGAGUGAAAAAGAACCUGAAACCGUGUACGUACAAGCAGUGGGAGCACAGGUUUACCUGUGUGACUGCGUACCUUUUGUAUAAUGGGUCAGCGACUUAUAUUCUGUAGCAAGGUUAACCGUAUAGGGGAGCCGGAGGGAAACCGAGUCUUAACCGGGCGUUAAGUUGCAGGGUAUAGACCCGAAACCCGGUGAUCUAGCCAUGGGCAGGUUGAAGGUUGGGUAACACUAACUGGAGGACCGAACCGACUAAUGUUGAAAAAUUAGCGGAUGACCUGUGGCUGGGGGUGAAAGGCCAAUCAAACCGGGAGAUAGCUGGUUCUCCCCGAAAGCUAUUUAGGUAGCGCCUCGUGAACUCAUCUCCGGGGGUAGAGCACUGUUUCGGCUAGGGGGCCAUCCCGGCUUACCAACCCGAUGCAAACUGCGAAUACCGGAGAAUGUUAUCACGGGAGACACACGGCGGGUGCUAACGUCCGUCGUGAAGAGGGAAACAACCCAGACCGCCAGCUAAGGUCCCAAAGUCAUGGUUAAGUGGGAAACGAUGUGGGAAGGCCCAGACAGCCAGGAUGUUGGCUUAGAAGCAGCCAUCAUUUAAAGAAAGCGUAAUAGCUCACUGGUCGAGUCGGCCUGCGCGGAAGAUGUAACGGGGCUAAACCAUG
rnacentral:rRNA from 1 species